rnacentral:rRNA from 1 species
UACGUAGGGUGCGAGCGUUAAUCGGAAUUACUGGGCGUAAAGGGCUCGUAGGCGGCCAACUAAGUCAGACGUGAAAUCCCCAGGCUCAACCUGGGAACUGCGUCUGAUACUGGAUGGCUUGAAUUCGGGAGAGGGAUGCAGAAUUCCAGGUGUAGCGGUGAAAUGCGUAGAUAUCUGGAGGAAUACCGGUGGCGAAGGCGGCAUCCUGGACCGACAUUGACGCUGAUGAGCGAAAGCUAGGGGAGCAAACGGG